rnacentral:rRNA from 1 species
UCUGAGCACAAAAUCGAAGCCUAAGUACUAAGACUAAAAUAGUUAAAACUUAAAAGACAUGGCGGCAGUUUUAACUUUUAGGGGAACUUACCAGAUAAAUGAUAACCCACAAGAAAAAUCACUUUUCUUCAAAGUUUGUAUACCGCCGUCUUCAGAACCUACUUAAGGCAGGCCCGAAAUUGCUUUUGUAAAAAGACAGGUCAAGGUGCAACCUAUAGAAAAGACUUGAGGUGAGUUACAAUAUUGACUUUUUUCGGAAGUUCUUUGUAAUAAAGAAACGCAAGAUGGACUUAAAAGUAAAGAAUAAUUUAGAAAUACUUCUUGAAUUUGUAACAACUGUGU